UCUGAUAUUUGAAAAUAAAGAGUUUGUCAUUUUCAUGAGAUAUUUAUGACCUGUAUGCUACCGCAGUAUGUCAAUUCUUUUUCCAGCCACAUCCUUUGGUACAUAAUAUCAUUAGUGGUUCUCUGUUAGAGUCUGCCAAACAUUUCAUAUUGUCAUCUUAUUCCCUUCUAAAAUGAAGGCUGUGGAUAUUAUCCAUCUUUAGAUGCUGAAUGCCAUGCCGUGUAGCGUUAGGUGAUUGGGACCGCAUGUGUGUACUAAUGAGAACUGUUAUUUGUUAAGAUGUGGUGGCAGCAUAAUUAAUGGCCACAAUCAAAAUGUAAUAGGGAUGUUUGCUUUAGUUUGUAGAUGUCACAUAAGAUUAUUAGGCUGAAUUGCCUUUGUUUUUAUUAAUUUUUACAAAUGUCG
rnacentral:misc_RNA from 1 species